rnacentral:sRNA from 12 species
AUCAGAGUCUGGGAACGCCAAGGCUUCCCGGAGUGUAUCCCGUAAAUUCAGCAGCCCACUGCCUGGGUAAAAGGGACGUUAUCCCGUCAUCCGAAUCGGGGGCGUUCCAGGUAGUUAUCGUAUACCAAUCUGUCCGGUGGCUAAUCUUACGAUUUUCCAUCGGCCAUUUAUUGAGCGGCUGCUAUGUUC